rnacentral:lncRNA from 1 species
AAUUGCUUGAUAAUCAGACUCUGCGUUUUCGACCGCAACCUAGAACAGCCGCAUUGUCUACUUCAAUCACCACGCGACUACCACUACCACCAAUUUCUGAAUCCUUUCAUUUUGGGGACUCAUCAAUCAGGUUUUAUAGUUCUUUGUUUAUUAUUAUGUCUACAAGAAAAUUUGAAUCUGGAUGUGCCAAAAGGAAAAGGAAGGAAAAAGUUGAAAAGUUGAUUAAAUCUCAAGGAGUACUUGAUAAGUUUUUUAAUUGUGGUAAAUGAACACCUAAUGAAGACGUAGUUACUGAAGAAGUAUUUAAUGAGAAUGAUAACAGAAAUAAUACAAUUGAGGAAGAAUAUUGUGUGGUGAAUGAAGAGGUAUCUCUUGACAGAGAUAAUGAACCAUUUUGUGUCGAGGGGGCUCCAUAAUAAUUAAACGCCUAGGGCCUUUGAAUUCUCAGGGCCGGCCCUGGCAAUUAUAGGGCUAUGGGCAGUUUCUCUGAGGCAUCAGCUCUUUAGAUUUGCUGUCGGGAUGCUGGAUUUCAUUCUUUCCUCCAUGGAUACUUGAACUAAUUAGCAAGGAAUAUUGUAAUUUUACUGAUGAUGAUGAUGAAGAAGAAGAAGAAGAGGAGGGAUUUUACAUGCCUUUAUUUGCAUUUGAAUGAAAGCUAAACUUACUUUUUUAGUUAAACAUGAUUUUCAAAGUUACUAUUUCGAUGAAAAAAUUUCAUUUUCG